CGUGUAGGCGGCCGUCUAAGUCGGGUGUGAAAUCCCUCGGCUCAACCGAGGAAUUGCAUUCGAUACUGGACAGCUAGAGUGCGGUAGGGGCAAGUGGAACUCCAGGUGUAGCGGUGAAAUGCGUAGAUAUCUGGAGGAACGCCGGUGGCGAAAGCGACUUGCUGGUCCGCAACUGACGCUGAGGCGCGAAAGCUAGGGGAGCGAACG
rnacentral:rRNA from 1 species